GAGUUUGAUCUUGGCUCAGAUUGAACGCUGGCGGCAUGCCUUACGCAUGCAAGUCGAACGGCAGCACGGGAGCUUGCUCCUGGUGGCGAGUGGCGAACGGGUGAGUAAUGCAUCGGAACGUAUCCUGGAGUGGGGGAUAACGUAGCGAAAGUUACGCUAAUACCGCAUAUUCUGUGAGCAGGAAAGCGGGGGACCUUCGGGCCUCGCGCUCUUGGAGCGGCCGAUGUCGGAUUAGCUAGUUGGUGAGGUAAAGGCUCACCAAGGCGACGAUCCGUAGCAGGUCUGAGAGGAUGAUCUGCCACACUGGAACUGAGACACGGUCCAGACUCCUACGGGAGGCAGCAGUGGGGAAUUUUGGACAAUGGGGGCAACCCUGAUCCAGCCAUGCCGCGUGAGUGAAGAAGGCCUGG
rnacentral:rRNA from 1 species